AGAAAAAAUGCCGAGUCUUCUCAAUGGUGUUUCGUUCAUCGUGGUUAUCCCCCUUCUCCUGUUCAGAGUUGGCGAGAUCAGAGCUAUGGAUGAAACCUGGAGCUACGACCGAAGGAGAUUUAAUCACCCAUGGAACUGGAAGUACACGUACCCCAACUGUGGGGGUGUGAAACAGUCCCCCAUCAACAUCAAGACGA